rnacentral:rRNA from 1 species
UGAGUACGAGAUGCUACGGCAUCGAAGCAGUCUAUGUCAUACUUCCAAGAAAAGCUUGCACUGUCAUAAACAAAGAAUGCCUGUACCAUAACCGACACAGGUGGGUAGGUAGAGUAUACUAAGGGGCGCGAGAUAACUCUCUCUAAGGAACUCGGCAAAAUGACUCCGUAACUUCGGGAGAAGGAGUGCCUUAUUUCUAAGGUUGCAAUAACAAGAUCCAAGCAACUGUUUACCAAAAACACAGGUCUCCGCUAAGUCGUAAGACGAUGUAUGGGGGCUGACGCCUGCCCAGUGCCAGAAGGUUAAAGAAGUUGGUUAGCAUUAGCGAAGCUGAUAACUGAAGCCCUGGUGAACGGCGGCCGUAACGAUAACGGUCCUAAGGUAGCGAAAUUCCUUGUCGGGUAAGUUCCGACCCGCACGAAAGGCGUAAUGAUUUGGAUACUGUCUCGGAGAGGGGCUCGGUGAAAUAGACUUGUCUGUGAAGAUGCGGACUACCUGCACCUGGACAGAAAGACCCUAUGAAGCUUUACUGUAACUUGAGAUUGAAAUUGGACUUUAUUUGCGCAGUAUAGGUGGGAGGCGUUGAGAAUAAUCUUGCGGGAUUGUUGGAGCCAUCAGUGAGAUACCACUCUUGUAAUGUUAGAUUUCUAACUUUGUAUCAUUAUCUGGUCAAAGAACAGUUUCAGGCGGGCAGUUUGACUGGGGCGGUCGCCUCCCAAAGGGUAACGGAGGCGCACAAAGGUUUCCUCUGAACGGGUAGAAAUCGUAUCUAGAGUGUAAAGGCAUAAGGAAGCUUGACUGUGAGACCUACAAGUCGAGCAGGGACGAAAGUCGGUCUUAGUGAUCUGACGGUGCUGAGUGGAAAGGCCGUCACUCAACGGAUAAAAGUUACUCUAGGAUAACAGGCUGAUCUCCCCCAAGAGUUCACAUCGACGGGGAGGUUUGGCACCUCGAUGUCGGCUCAUCGCAUCCUGGGGCGGUAGUCCGUCCCAAGGGUUGGGCUGUUCGCCCAUGAAAGCGGUACGCGAGCUGGGUUCAGAACGUCGUGAGACAGUUCGGUCCAUAUCCGGUGUAGGCGUUAGAAUAUUGAGAGGAGCCUUCUCUAGUACGAGAGGACCGAGAAGGACAUACCUCUGGUGUACCAGUUAUCGUGCCAACGGUAAACGCUGGGUAGCUAUGUAUGGAGUGGAUAACCGCUGAAAGCAUCUAAGUGGGAAGCCCACCUCAAGAUAAGUAUUCUC